ACACAGAUGCAGUGGUGUUAAUCACAUCACUCCCAGAGGCCUAGUUUCACACUUGGUCUCUUCUGAUUGAGCCAUGUCCCCAAUAGGAUUUUUCCAGUCUCUUAUAGGCCCAGAGUCUGGUUGUUUUCAGCUUCCAGGCAGCAAGGAAAUAGCCCACAGACCUCCUGCAACAUCAAGGAACUUGGAACAACAAAUACCAGACAGAUUUUUGACCCAACAUGAAGAGAAGACUGUUAGUUGAGUCCAGCCAGAAGUCAGAAGGCAAACAAGUCUUUCAAUGAGUCAGACCCAGGACAGGCUACCAGGUUCCAAAUGCUACCAUGAUGCCAACCGGACUUCCCUGGGCAGAUGGCCCCACCAAUGUGUCCUGGAGCCCCGCUUCCCCAGAGCCCCGCCCCACUAGGGAAAGAGAGAGGCAGGCUGAGAGUAUGGAUCAACCUGCCAAUGCCCAUGUACAGCCGGGAAGCAAUUACAGAAGCCAGACCUUCCACCUUCUGCACCCCAUAAUAGCCCUGGGUCCAUACUGCCAGAUGGAUAAAGAAUAGGAAAGCUAUCAUGGCAUGGGAUGGGAUAGGGAGUUCUGGUGGUGGGAAUUGUGUGGAGUUGUACCACUCUUAUCCUGUGAUUUUUAUAAAUAAAAAGUAAAGAAAAGAAAAAUAACUCAGUGGGUAGAGUAUAUGGCUUAAAUAUGUGAGGUCCU